rnacentral:rRNA from 1 species
UGAGGAAUGUUGGUCAAUGGUCGCUAGACUGAACCAGCCAAGUAGCGUGCGGGAUGAAGGCCCUCCGGGUCGUAAACCGCUUUUAGACGGGGAUAAAAGGGCGUACGUGUACGCCGUAUUGCAUGUACCGUCAGAAAAACGGACCGGCUAAUUCCGUGCCAGCAGCCGCGGUAAUACGGAAGGUCCGGGCGUUAUCCGGAUUUAUUGGGUUUAAAGGGAGCGUAGGCGGACUUUCAAGUCAGUGGUAAAAUCGUGUGGCUCAACCAUACCUCGCCAUUGAAACUGGAAGUCUGGAGUGCACACAGGGGUGCCGGAAUUCAUGGUGUAGCGGUGAAAUGCUUAGAUAUCAUGAAGAACUCCGAUCGCGAAGGCAAGUGCCCGGGGUGCAACUGACGCUGAGGCUCGAAGGUGCGGGUAUCGAACAGGAUUAGAUACC